rnacentral:misc_RNA from 1 species
UGCGAGAAUGACAGAAAGAAAAACAAUAGCAAAUCGCACAGCGAACUUGGUUGUUAUAUUAAGUUUUAUUUGUUAGUUCAUCGACAUUUACAUGGUAUCAUGCAAGGAGCGAAUUUUUUAAUUAGUAGCCAAUGUUAUUUAUCAAUUUUUUAUGUUUAUUAUAUCUGAUGGUGCUUAUCGACAGCCAUACUAUAUCUAAAAGUAUUGAUAACGACGAAAAGGUAGAUGACGUAUUUGACUCCAUUACCGAUUUAGACCACACAAGGAACCCCAAGCUGAGGCGAGAUAGGAACUUACACAAGUACAGGGCUGACUAUAAGGACGAGUAUGUGAGACCUGAAUCCUUCAAGAUAACAAAACUGUACGAGGAACCGGAAAGAUCGUCAGAAAGAACAACAGCCAAAGCGACAACCGAACAUGGAAAACAUCACAAGUCAGCCAAGAGAAGAGUCGGCAGUUUCUGGAAAAAAUUCAGAGGUAAAGAAAAAAAGAACAAACUCGAUGAAACUCAGAGGAAACGAAGAAUACCAAAAAACAAGGAAAUUGCAACGAAAGCUCCCUCUACCAAGGAAUUUCGGAAUCCCAGCCCAAGGAACAAAAGUAGACGAAAAAAUGCAAAUCCAGCACAUAGAGGACAAUCCAAAGCUAGGUUUGUUAAGAGAGAUAUUAGCGCAACCUACGGAGUACUCUUCACGCCCAGAAGAGCCCACGACCACACAACCACUUACAAACUCGAAAUUGGAAUCACAUCUGAGGUAGAUGAUCAGACUAAAAAAUCUACUAAAUUAACCCUCAAACCUAUACCAGCAACAGCACCAGCAUCACCAACAUCACCAGCAGCCAUAAGAGAGAAAGAGAAAUCAGAAAAAAAAAUGAUAGAUAAAAUCACUGAAAGAGUAAAUGUUAAACAGGAUAAUCUAACAGGAAUGAUAGAUAGCAUGACUACUCAGAUUGGUCGUCUCAAACAAAUAUACGGACUCGAGAAAUUCGGUUCAACUACUGAGAAGACGAGAAAAUUUGACAACGAUAGAUUUGAUACGAGUCAUUUGUUUAAUCCUUCUUCUACCGCGCAACCGACUGAAGCUGACUUUCCAGGCACAGCGCAAAUAGAGCAUUUACUAAAUGAUAUAAAAUCAAAGGCAAUACAGAUGGUUUCAGAGCAGAAUCCAUUAGUAACCGAUAUAAUAACAAACACAGUCACCGAGGCUACUUUUGAAGCCGAUCCCCUCCUUACACAUAUUGCGAUGACCGUUCCAGGGUAUUACUUGAACACUUUUGUAUCAAUAAAUGAGAUCCUUAAUGCAAAUGAGAAAAGAACAGUCGGGACUACUGGAACUCCUUUAACGAGCGAGGUCUACCUUAAUAGGUCAAAACCAGUUACAAAUACAGAGUCACAUUACAUGGCCGCACGGUCUAUCAAAGAGGACACGAUGACCAUCGCUCACAACGUUGAGGAUAUGCUUCAAAGAGAGCUCAAGAACAUUUACAACAAAGUGAAGCAUAAAGUAUCAGCUGACUUUCGUAAAGAAGUACAUAGAGCCAAGUCUACUAUAAAGGAAGGGCUUUGUAAAAUAAGUAGCAGGACUUGUUCGCCUAACACGACUACAACUAGUAUUACAACUAAACCUACGACGACGACGAAGACUACGACUACAACUACAACGACGAAGCCAUGCCAUUGUAAAAACAACAGUUCGGACAAACCGAAAUACAAAGAAGUAGAAACUACAGGACCAAGACACAAUAGAGGAGAUAAUAAGGAAAUAAAAGUGACCAACGACCUUUAUACAGCAGAACCAACGAACCCUACCCCAACAUAUGACGACUACAUGAUGUUGACGCUAUAUGAGGAAAUGCUAGCAAAAACUCACGAAAACAAUGUAAGGAAACUACUUGCAACGUCCGAAACACCACUGAAUUUGAAAAAAAGGAGAGAACAUUACAGGUUAUCGAAAAGGAACCCUGAGACUUUAACAGACGUGAAACUUAAAGAAGAAAUUGCGAAGUUAUAUGAUGAUAAUAUGCCUGAUUAUGAUUACAUUGAACCUUCAGCGAACGUGAACUCGACGGCGCAGUCUUCUGCAGGACCUAUGGAUGUGAACAUCGACAACCCAACUAGUAAUAUGGGCAACCUGCAACCAACGGAACCAUCUGAACCGCCUUUCAAAGUAAGUGCUCCACCAACCACGGACAACCAAAACCUUGGAGACACCAGUUUCGAAGGUUUAAGCAACAAGAUAUCGUACAACGACUUCGUGAACGGCUACAGACAUUACUUGAAGUUCCAAAAGGAGCAGAACAAUCAGAAUUUUUCUGCCCUCGUCAAAUAUCAAGCACAUAGACACCACAGUGUUGAUGAUAUUGGCAAAUAUAUACUUAAUAAGAUCCCUCCUCUGCCUUCUAAUAAUAGAAUGAAGAGGUUUUUCGAUGAUACAGAUAUAGAUUACCAAGAGAUUACGACGAAGAGUGACGAUUCUUGGUUUCGGAAGCACUUUUACCUGUUUAUCGACAAUGGGCCUCCUAAGAAGUUUCAUACAUCUCAGACUGUUGAACUAAAGUCUGCGGCGGGUGAAACCACGGCAUUUGUCACGGAACCCAUGCCUAAGAUUGUUCCAAAAAGUAAUUUAUUUAUAAAGCUUGGUACUGAACCACCGCCUAGAGCCAAAGAUACCUCUGAGAUGAGUUUGGAUGAUCUUGCGAAGAUUCUAGACUCUAUUAAGACUAAACAGUCGGCCAGUCCAUUUUAUCGAGACUCUUGGUUAUUACUUCUAGGACCUACAAAGGGGCAAAAAGAUUCACUGGUGUCAUCCCCACCCAUCAUCGGUACUGAAGAUAUCCCUAAAAACCUACCUCACAGCUUCAUAGGAAAACUGUUCGGCGGGAAACGUCGACAAGCCCCAAGGAAGGCACCAACGACAGUAUUCUACGAUAUAUUCAACGAAAACACUGAAGAAAGAAUGAAAAGAACUGUCACAAAGGAUGACCUUGAUGUCACUUUAAUAGACGAUUAUAUUACCAAACCUUUAGAAGAUAAAGUGUCUACAGUUGCCACAGAAGUGUUUGCAGAACCACCCAGUCUUCAACCUCCAGUGAGAACAAGUCGCAGAGAAACAAAUAAAUAUGGCUACGUUGAUAUAGACUUAGUUCCAAGACAAACGGCCGUCGUGAAACUUCGAGACGACACCCGAAGGAGUAGAUUCAAAAACUUUCUAAAAAAGUUUUCCUUAAAAAGGUUCAAACACAAGAAGAAACACGUGAAACGAUCUUACUACGACACGAAUAUUAUGUAUACCAGGAAAACAAGGUUCAAUCCUAUUAAAAAGCUGAAAGAUAUAUUUAAGGUUAAGGCAGAUGAGAAGGAGGAAAAGUCAGGUGGUUUCCGCUUGCCAACUUUAAUGCCAGAUUAUGAUAUGAUGACUUCUCACAUAGAUACGUUUAAGCCAGUGAAGUAUGAUAAGCCAAUGACCAUUGAUGAGAUGCAGAGGCAGAUACCGAAUAUCAGUGAUGUUAUCUACGAUGCGAUGACUUCUAAGACUAAGAAAACGACCCAUGUUUCUUCGUAUAUGUAUCGUUUGGACGAAAAUGAUAGGAAUCUGCUGUACAAUUAUCAUGUGCCGACGUCUGCGGGGCAGCUCGGUCAAUCUAUACUCGGCGUCCGACCGGUCUGGCUGGCAGGAGGCAUUCCGUUCACAGGAUUGAGCGGCUUCCAAAAAGGCAAAGAAACAACAUCUUUUAAUACCGAAGCCACUACUACUUCAACAUCUUUAACCCCUACCACUACUGUAUUCAGAAAACCGGCUUACACCACUUCUACUCCCUACAAAACUAUUACGAGACACAAGUGCCCUCCCAGCAACGUCAUGACAGUCAAUGUGAAAACGUUGAAGAAAGGACGCCCCACGUCGUUCCGCACGACCACCAAACGAAAACCCGACGAUACCACGACCUUAAUGACUCUAGACGACAUGAACUUCAUCCUCAACAGAAUACAGUCGAAAUUACUGAAAACUAUGAAACCAUACCAAAAAGUUCCCACGCCAUGCUACAAGAGAGGAACGUUGAAUUUCAAGAAGAAUCAGUACCACGUGAAACAACCCUUUGAGGAACUGACGAUCAAGAGUAAACUGACGAGGAUUGCCAAAUUCCCAAUUUCAAAACGACAUUUCAAAACUCGACACGCUAAUGCCGAACCUAUAGUUAACGUAGCCAAUGAUUAUGCUAGUUUCCAUGAUGAACCAAGAUUCAGAGAACAUGUACAUCCAUUGAAUAGCAGGAACGCCCCUGCUGAUAGAAGAAAGCCACAAAAUAAUAGAAAAGUUACCCCAGCUGGUAUGCAAAAAUAUCAUUUCAACGAAAAGUGGAGAUACACUGAUUAUUUCAAUGAUUUGCUGAUGUGGCAUAACGAUAUACUCAAUAUGGAUAAAGUUCCCAGUCCGCUUUGGAAGAAUAUACUGAAUAAUAUACAGCCUGAUAGUCACGAUAUGUACACGACUCCUAAUAUGAACAAUCUAUUGAAGGAACUCAAUGAUUUAUCAGAGUUCUUGGGCAAUGAACCACUGGAUGCUAAUAAUCCUAACAAUAAGAAUAUUGGUACGAAUAUUUCAAUUAAUUUAAUGUCUAAAGAACCAAGAAAUAAUAUACGAAGUUUACCUGAUUUUGGUAAACAAGGGAUCGCUAGAAGCGUGGCUAUGAAUGAUAAUACUUUGAUGACAGGUAAAAACUACGUGAUCCAAGGAGAGGCUAAAUAUUAUCAAUAUAAUCAACCAAAGACCUCUGGCCAAUUAAACUCGAAUCAUCUUCUUAAUAAUCUGAAUAAAGUGGAUGUCUAUAAUAAUAAUAAAUACAAAGCAUCUAUGAAAAAGCUUGGUGGCAACCGUCGCUCAAAACCAUACUUUGAGAAGGAAGAGCCAGCUAUCAUCGUGGACACCACACUCUUCGCGUACGAUGACGAAGCAGACAGCAUCACUGAGGGAAUGGCAAUUAAGAAGCAGUCCAGAAACUCUCAGAAAAUCGACACGGAGAAGCCCCCGAAAGACGUCCAGAGCUGGACUGCUGCCUCCCCCAAGGUUCGCCACUUCGCUCGAUAUUCAACAUCCCGCAUCCACUUGCCGGCAACCUUGCAUUCAAUACUAAAGACGAACAAACCUCCUCUGCAGUACUACACGACUCCUUUGCCGAUGAAGUCGCAAGACUUCAACAACUUCCUCAAAGAAAAUAAGAUGGACGUCGAGUCUGUCACUUCCCCCAUGAUAGAACUACCGAGGAUCUUAGAAAAAUGGACCUCAACACAUUCAAGGCACUUCGAACAAGAAGCGAUCCCUGUUCAUACCACCAAAGCGAAUACCACAUUAUCAACGAAAAGAGUUCAACUGACACAGAAACUUGCAAAACUUGCAAAAAUACAUGAUACGAAGACAAUAGAUAAAUCCAUGAAAUUCACUGACAAACUCAUGGUGAAACCAAUGUCGGUUUCACCCCAAAAGUUCCCAACGACACGUAAAAAGGCUAAAAACCCUUACUUCGAUGAUUUUGAUAGAUGCAAGAGGUAUAGUCAGCUAAAUAAGUUUGUGCGUUUUGCAACGACGACACCAGAAUUCAACUACUAUAAUAUUAUUAAAAAGAAGAUGAGAGGGCGAUUGUUCGAGAAAAAGGCUCCGGAUGCAAUGGAAAAACCGACAACAGACAUGUUCACUGUAGACCCACACAGCAAAGAAGUUGAAAUCACAAUAAUAAACUUUGAUGAUAUCGACAAAAUAACGCCUGCUCAAAUUUACGAGAAUUUUGCAAUUGCAUCUAAGAAAGAGGAAGAUGUGGCCGUAGAAUAUCCAGAACGGACAGAAGUUAGCAGUGAAAUACCACUUAAAGAACUAACUUACGGAAUCAAGGACUUCAUACCUAAAGAGGAGAUGCAUAACGAACUUCUGUAUAAAGAUAUAUUUAAAGAACAGACUAGUAGUACGACCACAGAGUUUACUGCUAGAGAUUGCUCUAAAAGUACUGAGUACAUUGAUCAUUCACUCAAUGAUAUGCCAAGCGCGGCGCAGCACAAGCUUCGAUACCCGUUUGAUAAGAUGCCACAGAUUUACCCAAACAUUUUAGGAAAGAUCCCACAUCAUCCAAAAAACUUCAAUGUACCCAAACGAGUUCAUAUAAGCAGCCACCACUAUAAGUACGAUAUCUUCUACGAUGACAAUAGCAAAAAAACUAUAAAGGGUGGAAAUGAGCAAUCACGACCGAAGCAGUCUAUAGAUCAUAGAAAAAACCCUCCAGAUUUACUCGUGAAGAUGAAAGUCAUCAGAAAUCCUACUAUUUUUAGAAAAGGCGAAACAAAAAUGGAGAUGAUAAGGAAGAUCGAUAGAACUGCGAAGAGGUACAGACAUGCGAGAUCCGUUUCAGCAUCAGAAGACUCCCACGGUUCAACGCACAAGCGUCGUCUCUUCACAUGGCGCGGCUGCAAGCCCAAGCCAGAAGGAGGGUUAUCAGCUCCUGGCGAGGACCUGGACAGUCCUGGCGCUACUCCGGUCGACACCACCAGGGUCACAAGACAUGCUGGAUCUAUAGAAACUACGGAAAUUUCGGCCAGUACGACAUCGUCGCCUUCUUCAAUAGCAGACCCGACCCCCCAGCCGGGUUCACUCGUCUACGACUUAAAGCACAUGAGGCGAACUACUUCUGCCGCUCCCGAGAGAGAGGAAGAUAAGCAGAAAGACAAGGAGAAAGACAAAGACAAAGAAUGUGAGAGACACAGGAGAUUGUUCAAGAUCUCUGCUUUGAUACAAGACAGAUUUAAGAGCUUGAUGAAGAAUUUGACGACGGUCAGGCGAUCGUCAGUGAACUCGACGAAGCGCGCGGCGAUCACUCCGCCCACUUCCAAACGUACUUGCAAUUGUACGCACUCUACAACAUCUGCAAUAACUAGUCGAACAAAACCAGAGAGCGACGAAGACGAUGACGAUGAUACUCCCAGCGUACCAAUCAGGGAAGACCUGAAACCUGAAGGAUUUCGAAUAACUUACGGGCCGGAUCCAACAGAAAAUGUCAAGAAGUCCAAGCCUAAAACGACGAAAUCGAAGAAAAAACAUCGAAAGCAUCAUCAUAAGAAGAAGCCGGUUGUCCACGACGAUGUAGAAGCUGUCAUUGAGGAUUAUGAGAAUGAGAAGGGGAAAGAGGAAGAGGCAGAAGAAGAGAACGUGGAGGCACAGGAGAAACAGGAGAUGACAACGCUGAAACAUCGAUGUCAAAGCCCCGGCAUCAACCACAAAGGGAAGCAAAUUUUUCAGGAGAUGCCAGCUGAAGCCCUUUAUGUUGAACCUAAUACGUAUAACGAUCAGUCAUACUACGAACUAGGAGCUCAGAAAAAACCGCCAAGAACUACAAUAACUGAAGACCCGGACUACUACGGGAAGCAUUACGAAAUCAAGAGGGACCUACAAAAUCAAAACACUUUCACAGCCAAAGAUGUAGCCGCUCUUGAAGUCAUCGUAGAUCUCAUGAAGAACACUCUCAGCUAUGAAGAGAAAGAUAUAGCGAGUGUCUUCCAAAAUAACAAUUAUAUGGUCCAAAAUCAUGCAACGAAGUCAGUCAUUAAUCGUAAUGACACCACGAAUUCCAUCCAGGUCCACAUCGCUAUACCUUUCGAUUUCCAAAAUGGAAAGAAACGUUCACCUCUUGACCCUAUUAGAGUAAGGAAAGUAUUCUCAGCUAAAAUGUCAACGCCAGUUGAUUUGGAGUAUCAAGUACAUUCGUUUGAAGGCACUAUUCCACCGACUACGACAAUUAAACCAACACAAUCUAGUUCUAGUCUCAGCCCAAGCUCUAGCCCUGGCCUUAGCCCAAACGCUAGUUCUACUACCAGCCCUAAUAAUAACCCAACAAUUAGUACUACUAUUUGCCCUAAUCUUAACUCUAACGCAAGCCUUUGUCCAACUACUAGUGCUAGCCUAGAAGAUGGAUUAUCACCGGGAAUGUACUUACUCGUUGAUAAACCAAAAAGCGGUUAUGCUCUUAGACCAGUGAAAACUAAGGCAGACAAUAUGAAAACGAGGCAAGUUUCGGUAGCUAGCACAACUUCAAUGCCAGACUCGACCAAACCAACAGAAACGAGAGAUGAAACCACAAGUAUAAAGAGUCUUGCCAAAGUGACGCUGAGCAAGGAAUUCAUAGCCGCUGUAAACAAACACUUGAUAGAAAUGUAUGAGAACAUGACGAGGGUUAACAAAGAGGUGAAUAACAAGACAAGAAAAGGAAGGUCGGUUCGGAAGAUACAUAAGAUUAGGGGUGGCGAGGAAGGGAGGGAAAGCGGGAAGAGAUCUUCUGAAAGAUACACGAUCAAGAGACAUAUCGACUGGGAAGCUGUCAAGAAAUACUUUGGACACGACAGAGUUUGCAAUUGUAAAUGUAGGUCGAACAAAGCAAUGUGUAGAGCUUGUGCAGCCAGCGAUGCAGUUAUAGAAGAACUAAUAUUUGAAUUCGAUAACUUAGGGCGCUACAUGAGAGACCAUUGUACAGAAAUACAAACAUUCUUUUGGAUGAAUCCUUUGGGCGGACAGAAAUUGAGGGAAUCCGUAAGCAGAAUAGACAAGAGCUUGGGAGAUUAUUACAAACGAGUUAAAGGAAAAUGCCAAGGCAGAACUUGCAAGACUUUUACGACUUACAUAGAUAAGAGACAGAUAGUAAAAUCAUCAAAAGUGCCUAAAAAGGAUGUGUUCUCUCAUCUCGUUACCGAUCUAACUAAUAUCGCGGAAGAUUUGAACAGAACGAUAUCUCUUAAGACUUGCUUCAACGAGAAGUUGCUAGCUGAAGGAGAGAGAUUCGUGAACGCUCUCAACAACUGCCUUUCACAAAAAACAUUCGACAAACGAGCUACUUCUAACUCAACAAAGAAGAAAAUGAUAAAAAACGUCUAUUCGCUAGAUAAUAUUAAUGUUAAUAUCAUUUGUAAUCCAGAAGUUUCUUCUUCUCCGUCAACGGAGGACUUUUACCGCACCACGGCAGCAUUAGCGACCCAUCUAGAGAGUUCGCACAUGGUAACCGAACCGAAUUUAUUCGAUUAUGAAGUCACAGAACCGAAAUUAAAAAAGCGUAAAGGAUUUAAAAAGCUCUUUCCACGCAAAAACAAGAAAAAACUCUUUACUUAUUGCACCUCAAGCUAUGGACGGAGGCAAAAGAUUAAUUUUAAACGUGAAAUAGACGCCGAGUCAUAUAACUUCGUCCCACCUUUGAUAUCAGACGGCGGCGGUUCAUUUUGGCUUAACUAUCUAAAAAUUAGCACGAAUGAGCCUCGCAUUGUAAGAGAAUCUCGUAAAAACAAGCCGAAUAUUGAAAUAGCAGUUGUUCAAAAAGCACAAGAUGGGACGUCGAUGGUCCAAAAGAUAACUGAACCAUUAACUAAAGGAGAAAGGGAAAAAGAAAGGGAUAAAGAUGGAACAAAGAAGGGUGCGACUCCAAAUUCCAUUUAUAUGACUAUUAAAACUUCGCCAAAGAGAAAAUAUUAUCGAGAUACUGAAUCCACAACAGACUACCUUACUCAUAACAUUAACCAGUUACUGCAAUUAUUUGGAAGUUUACAAGACAUUGAAGCGAUGAACCAGCACUCGAACAGAUCUACAAUGUUUCUGAACCGCCCCACAACAAACAACGAUGAGAGCAGUAUACUGGAUGAGGCGGAAUCCAAACCAAGACCCAAAACUCCAAAGCCGGUCAAGAAACUCAAAUGCAAGGAUAAGGCACCUGAUAAGAAUGGUACUACCACCACCACACCAGCUCCCAAAUUCCCAAAGAAGAAAUUAAAGCCAAAAGAACCUGAGGAUUCUUGUGACAACAUAAUAAUACGUGGUACAACGGAGGACCCAAAUCCUCGUACUUCUCUAAGUACUAUUCGAAAUAUAACAAGCACUGAAAAGGUUGAAUCUGAGAUGAGUGAAACCCCCACUGAGGCGACAACGACAGCUCCCACGUCAGCCCUCGUUGACGUAUCAUUGACGAACGCCUUCGACACGUGGUCAAGCGGCACCAUAGACUCGUCACUAGGAAAUGAAAAUGACCCAACGACAGCCAGCAAUGGCAAAGACCUCAGUGACUCCGCUAUAGCCCACACUGAAAUUUCCACAGCACCUACGACAGCAAGAAUAGUAUCAAAAGGCGGUGAACUUAAGGAAUCUUUGAAACCAAUAAUCACUACAAAGCCAGUGUCGACAAAGUCACCGAAGAAGCCGCCAAAAGUGACAAAAUCAUCACCAAAACCGCAAGCAGAGUCUGACGAUCCUAAUAGACCGAUAUACCAAGACGACGAAGAUGUGGUAACGACGACUACACAAUCAUCAGGCUUUUUCCAUAAACUCAAAACUGCGACGCUGAGGUUUUUCGAUGCCGUUGCGAAGUCUAGCAUCGAGAUACCAGAGCCUACGAGCUCGACUGCUGAAGCUCAGACAAUGAUGCCAAGUAUAAGAGAUAAAUUGAGCACAGGGACUGAUACUGCCGACUUAAAAGAACCUUCUCAGAUGACCACACGCCCGAGUCCUACUAUUGUUAUAAUUAAUGAAUACGAUAAUCAAAUUAGCAGUGAUAUAUUGAAUGAUCCGAAUAAAGAUGCGGCUGGGUAUAGGAAUUUGCUACUUUCUAUAAUACAGUAUGAAACAAAUAAGUUGAAUGAUGAAUGGCAUCGGAUAGCUUACGGUGGUGAUAAGGAUAAAGAUGAGGGCAAUGUUAGAAGAAGCGUCAUUGAAUUUAGAAGGCCUGAUAUGAAAGGUACCGCAAAACCAAGGAAAAAUGCGUACAAACUGAAAGAUGAGGCCGAAGAAGAAUAUGAUAUAUUUCAAGGGAUGAAAUCAUUGAAGAAUCUUGAGAUGCCCGAACCGUUACCUCUGCCGUGUCCGUGUACGAAAUCGAAAAAAAAACAGCCGAGUUUGCUGGAUAGGAUAGCUAGCAAAAUAGGCAUCAAAGUCAUUCCAGGAAAGAAAAAGGAUUCCAAGUCCUCUUUAACUUCUACAAUGCACACGACGGCAUCGCCGCAGUUUCUGCAGCUACAUCUACGUUCUGAUUUGCCUGAAAUAGUAGGAAAAAAGCCGAGCGUCAGGGAAACAUCCAAGAAGAAGAAUUCGAAAAGAAGGAGAAAGCUAAGGCUCAACAGUUUGAAGUCAUCCCGCACGGCGACGGCCGCAGACAACCCAAAGGCCAGUGAUUCUCGUCGGUCAACCGAAUCAAGUCAAAUUUGUGACAUACAGGCCACACUUGACUACAUCACGAAUCUUCAAGGGAAGGUCCCGAAAGAAGAUUUCGAGGCCCUAGUGAAAAACAUCUCUUGUUACAAGUAUAAACCUGUGGAUACUAAGUUCUUUGUGCCUUAUAAGAGAGAAGGCAAAAGAUGGGACUGGAUCAGAAACAAAAGAUGUCUGAAAUAUCGUUUUGCGAGAGUAGAAGAGUCAGAUUUUGAUGAUGAUGACGAUGAUGCCGUGGAAUUUGAUGAUGAGAGUGAUUCGUUCGAGAAAUACGUUAAAGGAGAAGAUGGUAUUUAUAAGAUUGUUGCGAGGAAGAAGAGGACUGCGGGCUUAGAUAAUUUGGAUAUUGGCUUGAGGAAUAUACCGACUUUGAUGCCUGGGCAGGAUGAACUGUACGUCAUGGUAGGUGAUACCGUGACUCUGGACUGCAUACCGUACCCAAGUUUCCCUGACGCUGACGGCAAGUACAGUUGGAAGACUGACAGGAAACGGAUGUUGAAGCAGGAUAAUGUUCAAGUUGAAGGCGUUAAAGUUACCAUUCAUAAUGUCGAGCCGAGGAAUGUUGGCAGUUAUACUUGUAGUUUGGACCAGACAGUGCAACGAAACGUGAGGCUGGCCGUGAUGACGGUACCUGCCUUCGACGUGGUCUUCCUGCCCAUUUACAAGACUGAAGAGACCUGCGCUUAUGAUGACCUCAAGGCUAUCCAGAGCCUGGGUGGCAUGAUGUCUGAAGAAACUCGCUGCGGCAAAGCAUGUUCCGUAAGGAUUGAUGAGCCAGUCUGCCAGAGAGACCGGGGCACCAACAGCUCUCUGCUGAGGACUACGGCGGUGCUGUCCAUGUCUCCCCUGAACGUGAACUGCAGCCUGCACUGCCGGAGGGACAUCGUGUCCUCGCUCGUCAUGCUGAGUGCCUUGAACACUCCCGCCUUGUCCAAUAUAGGAAUUGUCAUGUCAAAGGAUGGAGUUAAUGAGACUCUGACGCCGUGGACAACGCUCGUCAGACCAGUGAUCACUCAUUCGCUAAGGAAAAAAGACACGAACGGUCACAAGGAGUACCACAAGCUGGUGAGCUCGCUGACACCGGGCAAGGUGGACGUGGUGCUCAACUGUCCCGCCGGCUACUACCUGCUGCCCGACUACAAGCUCUGUUCGUCAUGUCCAGCGAACACGCGUUCCCUCCGCGGCGACAACACGUGCACGCGGUGUCCGCGCGGAACGCACGCGCCGCCCGGCGCCACCGAGUGCCUGGCAGCAACACCCCCGCGCAGUGGUGGUGGUACCCCCCCUGCGGCUACCUGGUGGCUUGUGUUGGCCUCGUGUUGGGCUGCACGGUCUGUCUGGUGCUCUCCGUCAUAGUACACUUCGUCUCCAAGGAGCAUAAGCCCAAGAAAAAGAAGUCCGUCGAACGGGAGCUCGCGAAUACACCAAAGACGGGGACCAGCGUGACGGCUGCGUUUGCGCACGCCGCGCUGGCGCCUCACUCGCGGCCGCUGUCGCCGUCGCGUGUCAUACUGCCGAGGUUCUUCAAGCCGUCGCUUACGUCUUCGAGAGCUACUG